GCGAGGAUCUCUAUCUCCUUCUCUGUUGCGCAGGAGACGAUCUCCAUCUCCAUUCGUCCUUUCCGAACCUGAGAAACGUGAAAGGAGAUGGUACCUUUGUCAUUAUCUCAACAUAAUCUCUGGCCGCCGGAAUCUGUAUCCACGGUGUUUUGGGGUUACACAACCGCCACAUCGAUACACGCCUGCGACCAUCUUUGCCGCCACCUCCGACUUGGCUGAAGACCGUCGAGGAACUCCGACUUCUCCGGGCUUCGAAGUUGCCUCACCGUAUUCUCCAACUGUUUCCGUCAAGAAGAAGAAGAAGGUUUUCCGUUCAUCACAGAAUGGAAACGGACCCAAAAUCCGGGAUACCGAAGCCACCGAAAUCAUUGGGUACGAUUGAAAAUUGUUAAUCCUUUAAUGGUUGGCUUUAUACCUCUUAACUAGGAGGAUCGAGCAGAGACAUUGGAUGCUCUCAUGAUCAGUUUUACUUAAACAACGAUGAGUUCAUAAAUUCUGAUUUCAUCGUUUUUUUUCCCUCUCAUUCGAAGCAUAUCUUGCUGGACGCUUUCUCGAUUUGGCAAGUAUCUUAUCCAGGUAUGAUUCGAAACAGAAGAUUCCAUGCUUCAAAACGGUCUUAAAUGACUUACUUCUUCUUGUUUUAUAGGAAACUUGCAAUCCAAAGGGUUACGAACAGUUUGAGAAAGUUCUUAUGGGUCUUCUCCGCAGACUCUUGGAUUCGAACAAGCGGGUCCAGGAGGCUGCCUGUUCAGCUUUUGCAACUGUUGAAGAGGAUGCCGCUGAAGAGUUAGUGCCACACCUGGGAGUAAUACUCCAGCAUCUAAUGUGCCCUUUUGGAAAGUAUCAGAGGCGGAACUUAAGAAUUGUUUAUGAUGCUAUUGGAACACUGGCAGAUUCGGUUAGAGAAGAGUUAAAUAAGCCUGCUUAUCUUGAAAUUCUGAUGCCUGCACUGGUCGCAAAGUGGCAACAACUUUCAAAUUCAGACAAAGAUCUAUUUCCAUUGCUGGAAUGCUUCACGUCUAUUUCACAGGUAUGUGCUAUUUGUCAAGGCCUUCUAUACUAUAUUAAAAGGGUUAUAUGAGCUCCAUACAGCAUGUCCACGUCAGAUUUUUAAUUCCACGUCGGAUUGGGCUGAUGGGCUUCUUUAUUUUUUUUCUUUAUCGCGUUGGCCCGUAAGCCCAUUGACGAAACCUAAUCGGAGAGCGCACCACCGAACCAUCGCGAGGAUCUCUAUCUCCUUCUCUGUUGCGCAGGAGACGAUCUCCAUCUCCAUUCGUCCUUUCCGAACCUGAGAAACAUGAAAGGAGAUGGUACCUUUGUCAUUAUCUCAACAUAAACUCUGGCCGCCGGAAUCUGUAUCCACGGUGUUUCGGGGUUACACAACCGCCACAUCGAUACACGCCUGCGACCAUCUUUGCCGCCACCUCCGACUUGGCUGAAGACCGUCGAGGAACUCCGACUUCUCCGGGCUUCGAAGUUGCCUCACCGUAUUCUCCAACUGUUUCCGUCAAGAAGAAGAAGAAGGUUUUCCGUUCAUCACAGAAUGGAAACGGACCCAAAUCCGGGAUACCGAAGCCACCGAAAUCAUUGGGUACGAUUGAAAAUUGUUAAUCCUUUAAUGGUUGGCUUUAUACCUCUUAACUAGGAGGAUCGAGCAGAGACAUUGGAUGCUCUCAUGAUCAGUUUUACUUAAACAACGAUGAGUUCAUAAAUUCUCAUUUCAUCGCUUUAUUUUCCCUCUCAUUCGAAGCAUAUCUUGCUGGACGCUUUCUCGAUUUGGCAAGUAUCUUAUCCAGGAAACUGGCAAUCCAAAGGGUUACGAACAGUUUGAGAAAGUUCUUAUGGGUCUUCUCCGCAGACUCUUGGAUUCGAACAAGCGGGUCCAGGAGGCUGCCUGUUCAGCUUUUGCAACUGUUGAAGAGGAUGCCGCUGAAGAGUUAGUGCCACACCUGGGAGUAAUACUCCAGCAUCUAAUGUGCGCUUUUGGAAAGUAUCAGAGGCGGAACUUAAGAAUUGUUUAUGAUGCUAUUGGAACACUGGCAGAUUCGGUUAGAGAAGAGUUAAAUAAGCCUGCUUAUCUUGAAAUUCUGAUGCCUGCACUGGUCGCAAAGUGGCAACAACUUUCAAAUUCAGACAAAGAUCUAUUUCCAUUGCUGGAAUGCUUCACGUCUAUUUCACAGAUAUGUGCUAUUUGUCAAGGCCUUCCUAAUAAUAUCUGUAGAGUCUUGUGGGUUGUUCGUCGGCCAAAACUUCUUUCAUUGGCCUAAACAACGAUGAGAUUGGUAUUCAGCGAUGUAGUUUAGUGCGAGGGAGAGGAGCGGGAGUUUCAUUUCGCUGCUGUCAGAUUCUAGAAAUAAUAAUUUACUGGGCUUGCUCUAUUUAAAUUACUACAAAGUGACAAGUUUUCAAUUUUUUUUUCUGAAACAAACGUCUGCAGUUUCAGAGUAGGAUGGAGUCAGGGGAAGAGAUCGGGAGGUGUCAUUUUUUAUAACACCUGCUCUGCUAUGUUCAAGAAAGAGAGGCUGCUGUUAAAUGCAUCCCAAAAUCUAAGAUACUCAGAUGAGGGGUGGGAGGUGAGGGAUGAAGAUGGCUACAUGAGAGGAUCAGGUGCAAGGAUCUAGCGGGAGAGAAUAGAAGAAUGGGUCAUUAUACUUCACGUGGUUGUCUCAAAAACGUUGUAUGGACUAUCAGAUUGGUUAACUGCAAUUCCUACAUGAUGGGAAAAGCUUCUGCAGAUUGUAUGCAAUCGCAAGUUUUAAACUUUGGAACUAGGGAAUUCCUUGUGGUCAAGAUUGAAGUGUUCACUGAUAUUUUGUUGUACUCGAAAUGAGUUUUCUGUUGUAAAUUCUUAGUGAAAAGCUCAGCUUGCAUUGUCCCAGGUCUGUGUUAUUGUUUUCUUAUCGUUUUAGUAUUAUCUUUGUUUUACUUGAAGGCUUGAAGCCUGAGGAAAUCAGUGGCAUCGACAGCUGUUUGCUGAGCCUGGAACGCUUGCUGCAACGGGAGUGUUCGUUUGUGGCACAAAGUACAUUGUAAUCCAAGGAGAGACAAAUGCCGUCACUCGAGGGAAGAAGAUAACAUGAAUGAUUCUGAUGAAUCUUUUGCCUUUUUUUGGGAGUUUGUGGUGUUACAAUUAAGGAGACCGCCCAAGCCUUGGUCUUUUCUGUGACGAACCAAUGACUACUGGCCAAUGCAACAUGGUUGUGGAGCGGCUUGGUGACCACCAGAUUGAAUCACGGCUCUGAAACUCAAGCUGCUGCUAUGUUCAUGUCGCCUAUAUUGUCUUCUAUUGAGGGAAAGGUAUAUAUGGAGUGUGAUCAAUGAUUUUAUUUCAACUGUGUAUUACCUUCUACCAUGUGAUGAAUCUUGGAGUUGUAGGAUUCUAAAAACAGUCUGGUAUUGUCUUCUUUUGUGACAAGUUGCAAACUUUUAAUUAAUGGCAGUGUCGCACCAUAGCUUUUUAGAGUUUAUGAUUAGUUCUACAGAUUAAUCUUUCUGUAAAUAAAAAUAAAAGAUUGAUUCAGAUCACAAGAUCAUAGAUAAAUACUUGCAUAACAGUUAACAAGUAAUCUCUGUACCACUAUUCAACUGAAGGAAGAAGA